GACGAACGCUGGCGGCGUGCUUAACACAUGCAAGUCGUACGGUAAGGCCCUUUCGGGGGUACACGAGUGGCGAACGGGUGAGUAACACGUGAGUAACCUGCCCACAACUUUGGGAUAACGCUAGGAAACUGGUGCUAAUACUGGAUAUGUGCUCCUGCUGCAUGGUGGGGGUUGGAAAGCUCCGGCGGUUGUGGAUGGACUCGCGGCCUAUCAGCUUGUUGGUGGGGUAGUGGCCUACCAAGGCGGCGACGGGUAGCCGGCCUGAGAGGGUGACCGGCCACAUUGGGACUGAGAUACGGCCCAGACUCCUACGGGAGGCAGCGGUGGGGAAUAUUGCACAAUGGGCGCAAGCCUGAUGCAGCAACGCCGCGUGCGGGAUGACGGCCUUCGGGUUGUGAACCGCUUUCAGCAGGGACGAAGCUUUUUGUGACGGUACCUGCAGAAGAAGCACCGGCUAACUACGUG
rnacentral:rRNA from 1 species